rnacentral:tRNA from 1 species
GCUGUUGUAGCUCAGUUGGUAGAGCAACUGAUUCGUAAUCAGUAGGUCGGAGGUUCGAUUCCUCCCAACAGCACCA